AGCAGCGUGGGGAGGCACAUUCCCACCCGCACCAGGCAGAGGAGCAUUAGAAGGCUCUCAGCCAGCCUAGGAGUCCUGUGCAGCACGAGGAGGCUGGGCUAUAAAAAGACACUCACUUGGAGAGGAGUGGGAGAGCUGUGCCCUUGUGGGAAGGAGGAUUGUGCAGACGGGGGCCCUGCAGUGGUGUGUGGGGUGCAGCAGGAUCCCGAGGUUAACAGGGAGCUGGAGCUCUUCUCAGAAGGCAGUUCCUGCCGCUCUGAGGACAUCCUGCUGCUUGUGAGAGAGCAGGCCGGGCACACCUCUGCACCAUGCAAUGCAGCAUCAUGUGUGAGACCUCUCUACUACCCCUAAAGGAACCGUUUUCCAGACCAGCCAGGGAAGGCACUGCACACAAUAGCUUGGAGGAAUAAUAGAAGGCUCAGAGAAGACGUCAAACUCUGGUAAGAUACUGGGAUGCAGAUGCAUUUGGGAAGGCUACAGCAAUUACAGUGCCUGAGUUAACCCAGUGCUGACUGUCAACAGAAAGUCCCUACUUUGUUUCUAGGGAAAACUUGAGAUCAUCUUGUAUUU
rnacentral:lncRNA from 1 species